rnacentral:rRNA from 1 species
UGGGGAAUUUUGGACAAUGGGGGCAACCCUGAUCCAGCAAUGCCGCGUGUGUGAAGAAGGCCUUCGGGUUGUAAAGCACUUUUGUCCGGGAAGAAAUCGCACCUGAUAAUACCGGGUGUGGAUGACGGUACCGGAAGAAUAAGGACCGGCUAACUACGUGCCAGCAGCCGCGGUAAUACGUAGGGUCCAAGCGUUAAUCGGAAUUACUGGGCGUAAAGCGUGCGCAGGCGGUUGUGCAAGACGGAUGUGAAAUCCCCGGGCUUAACCUGGGAAUUGCAUUGGUGACUUCACGGCUAGAGUGUGUCAGAGGGGGGUAGAAUUCCACGUGUAGCAGUGAAAUGCGUAGAGAUGUGGAGGAAUACCGAUGGCGAAGGCAGCCCCCUGGGAUAACACUGACGCUCAUGCACGAAAGCGUGGGGAGCAAACAGG